AGGUGCGAUCAUACCAGCACUAAUGCACCGGAUCCCAUCAGAACUUCGAAGUUAAGCGUGUUUGGGCGAGAGAAGUACUAGGCUGGGUGACCUCCUGAAAAGUUGAUUCUUAUUUC
rnacentral:rRNA from 1 species